CUAAGCGACUCGAGCUCUAUUUAUACAUAGCAUGUAUAUGGCUUGGUACUAUUGAGAAACUCUCUUGCGCAUUUUUCGGGAAAAAUCAGUUCAGACAAAUUCGUAAUGAGAACUUUAUUCCGUUCUUAUAUCACUUGCAGAUAACCACUUGACAGUGUGCUCAGAUAUUAAAUUCUUGGGGAAAGGAAAAGGUUUUGCCUGAGGUCUCGGAAUGCCUAUGCUAUUGUAAGCCUACGUGAAAUCCUGGCCACAAGCCCCCGCUCACAUCCAGGUUGUGUACCUGCUGGGUCAGAGUCACAGAAAAGCAUUGUCCAGGAGGAUGCUUCAUGACGAGGUGGCACACAAGUUGGAUAUUUACUAUGAGAAAAUAGAAGCAGCAUGAAAACACUUGGGAGCAUAUAUUUAUCAUCUUGAGCCAACUCUGGCUCAGCAGGUCAUUAAUGAGAAUCUCUUAACUCUAGAGCGCAUUAUUGGGCUCAGAGAUUUCAUGUCUUAUGUCACAAAGGUUUCUACGGUCAUCAUCCUGCGGUUAUAAUAUCUCAAAAUACAGUCUAAGAAAUAAAAAGUAACCUUUAAAAUGAAAAUACAGAGUCUCUGAAGAGUAGAAUGAGGUAUAAGUGGUGAACCUUCUGGA
rnacentral:lncRNA from 1 species